GAUAUAUUAUGCAAAAUUGAAACAGUCUGUUUCUUACAGACUAAUAGGAGGCAACACUGAUUUCAAAAACGUG